GCGCCCUUAGCUCAGAUGGAUAGAGCACGAGACUUCUAAUCUUGAGGCCGGUGGUUCGAAUCCACCAGGGCGCGCCA
rnacentral:tRNA from 1 species